GAGUUUGAUCAUGGCCAGGAUGAACGCUGGCGGCGUGCCUAACACAUGCAAGUCGAACGGAGUUUAUGAGGAAGAAGCUUCGGCGGAAUUCUUAUAAACUUAGUGGCGGACGGGUGAGUAACACGUGGAGAACCUGCCUCUUACCGGGGGACAGCAGUUGGAAACGACUGAUAAUACCGCAUAAGCGCACGAGACCGCGUGGUCCUGUGUGAAAAGAUUUAUCGGUAAGAGAUGGCUCCGCGUCUGA
rnacentral:rRNA from 1 species